rnacentral:rRNA from 1 species
UACGUAGGGUGCGAGCGUUAAUCGGAAUUACUGGGCGUAAAGCGUGCGCAGGCGGUUUUGUAAGCCAGAUGUGAAAUCCCCGGGCUUAACCUGGGAAUGGCAUUUGGGACUGCAAGGCUUGAGUGCGGCAGAGGAGACUGGAAUUCCUGGUGUAGCAGUGAAAUGCGUAGAUAUCAGGAGGAACACCGAUGGCGAAGGCAGGUCUCUGGGCUGACACUGACGCUCAUGCACGAAAGCGUGGGGAGCAAACAGGAUUAGAGUACCC